CCACACACUCCUCCCGAACCCACACACCAUGGGCACACCCCUCCUCCCAGCGGCAGCUCUGGACCUGCCUGUGCCCACCCCCGCCGUCGUUCCCCGUAAAUGUGCAGCCAUCCCGCGUCCCCGCGCUGCCGCAGCCCCUCACUCGGGGCCCUCAAAGAGCACGCUUAUAAAAACAUUCUUCCCGUGAUGGAGUGCUUCCUUUGGGCUUCUUCGGCUUGUAACAGAUUAAAGGCGAACAGGCAUUUGUCAUGGGGAAGUGUACCCAGUUGUGCUGGAAAAUGGACUUUUCGAUGAGCGUGAGAGCUUGAACCUGUCACAGAGGGGAGAGCCUGUGUUAUUGCAGCCUGCCGGGCCGCGGUGGCCGCUGCGGCUUAUCGGCUGUGGCAGGCAUCACCUACGACUGCAAGGAUCCCAUUACGGCCUCUGAAGACAUACCCAUUCCUUUUCUUCUGAGCCCGCAGAAGACAACCCUGCCUAGCUUCUUUGCAGCUACGUGGAGACAUGUGACUAGUUUGGCCAAUGGGAUGUGAGAAGAGAUGAUGAAACUCGGAGGAGAACUUGUGAGAUCGCCGUGACUGCUUUUCCCCUGCCACAGUGGCUAAGAGGAUAAGGCUAUCAAGGGUGGAGCCUCUCUAGGCCUGGGUUCCUGGGUGCCUGUGUGGAGCCGAGACCCCAGGCUAACUCACAAUGAACACGCCGUGUGAGGAAGACGUAAAGCUUUAUGUAUUAAGCCACUGGAGCUUAGGGUUUAAUUUGUUACUGUGGUGUAGCCUACCCUAUUCUAACCAAUACAAGGAUCUUUGGAUGACUCUCCUCCAGGAAUUCAUAUACAAAAACAUCCUCCCUGCAUGAGAACUCCCUAUAUGGUUCCAGCAGUAUCUCUCACCUGCAAUAGUGACUAAAGUCAAGACUCUCUGCUGGCUAUUUCGUUUCUACUGAACUAGAAUAUAAAUUUGAGCAGGACAUGGACCUUUUCAAUCUUGCCUACCCUCAUAUCCCAGUAACAAGUGGCUAGCAGAGUACCUGACACAUCAUGGAUGCUCAAAAAAUAUUUCUUGACUAACUGGAUGAAUAAAUGAGUGAAUCAUCAUCAGGAUUGCUGCUCGUGAACCCCUCCUCUUGCAGCUACCUGCCUUUGAAUUUGCCCUCAGGCUUCCUAGCUAGUUUCUUCUUUAGCCUUUCUGACCCAUCGUUCCUUCCGUAGAGUUCAAGACAACACUGCUCCUCCUAUGAACCAAAAGAAAGUGCCAGCGGCUGUUGGUGACGAAGCUCUUCUUUUCUAGGCAAUAAAGCCCCCUCCAGUUGUAGCAGUUUUCUCUGGAAUGGUAAGUCCCUCAGAUCUGGGAGUUAAUUGUUACUGUGGCAGAGGCCAGGCCACCCUGACUGAUAGAAGACCUUUUGGGAGAUUCUUCUUUCCCUGGAUGAGGUUGUACCCUGUUUAUGUUGGAUAAACAACUCAAAACCAGUAGCAUAGAAUGUUAGUGCCAGAGGGGAACUGAGAGACUAACAUGUUUUCCUUUUGCAAAUGAGGAAACUGAGGCAGAGAGAAGGGAGGGAAAUUGAUUAAGGCCUUUGGCUUAUUGGUUCAUUCCUUUGAUCGCUGUGAUGGAUGUUUCCCUGUCUUUUUAACCCCCCUGGCUUGUGUACCCUGUUCCAAGGAAUUCUCCAACUCAUGACUCUCCAACUUAUGAUGGGAAACAGAGCCCACCUCCCACUCAAGAAAAAAACAAUGCUUGCAGCACUAUUCUCAAUUGCAAAGACAUGGAAUCAACCCAAAUGCCCAUCAGUGAUAGACUGGAUAAAGAAAAUGUGGUACAUAUACACCAUGGAAUAAUAUGCAGUCAUAAAAAGGAGGAAUGGGAUCACGUCCUUUACAGGGACAUGGAUGAAGCUGGAAGCCAUUAUCCUCAGCAAACUAAUGCAGGAACAGAAAACCAAACAUCACACGUUCUCACUUAUAAGUCGGAGCUGAACAAUGAGAACACAUGGACACAGGGAGGAGAUCAACACACUCUGGGGUCUGUUGGGGGACGGGAAGAAAGCAUCAGGAAAGAUAGCUAAUGCAUGCUAUGCUUAUUACCUAGGUGAUGGGUUGAUAGGUGCAGCAAACCACCAUGGCACACGUUUACCUAUGUAACAAACCUGUGUGUCCUGCACAUGUACCCCAGAACUUAAAAUAAAAAAAAAAAGGCAAGGCUGAGUACUCCCUUUCCCAGGCUCCCUUGCAGCUAGGAUGUGGGUGUGUGAGCAGGAGGGUGUGCAAGGCUGGCAGCUCUCCCCAACAGUCAGGGUUUGAGUUUGGGGGUGGGGCAGUGCUG
rnacentral:lncRNA from 1 species